GUUCUGUCUCUUUCGUUUUGCA
rnacentral:miRNA from 1 species